rnacentral:rRNA from 1 species
GACGACCGCUGGCGGCGUGCUUAACACAUGCAAGUCGAACGGAAAGGCCCUGCUUUUGUGGGGUGCUCGAGUGGCGAACGGGUGAGUAACACGUGAGUAACCUGCCCUUGACUUUGGGAUAACUUCAGGAAACUGGGGCUAAUACCGGAUAGGAGCUCCUGCUGCAUGGUGGGGGUCGGAAAGUUUCGGCGGUUGGGGAUGGACUCGCGGCUUAUCAGCUUGUUGGUGGGGUAGUGGCUUACCAAGGCUUUGACGGGUAGCCGGCCUGAGAGGGUGACCGGCCACAUUGGGACUGAGAUACGGCCCAGACUCCUACGGGAGGCAGCAGUGGGGAAUAUUGCACAAUGGGCGGAAGCCUGAUGCAGCAACGCCGCGUGCGGGAUGACGGCCUUCGGGUUGUAAACCGCUUUCGCCUGUGACGAAGCGUGAGUGACGGUAAUGGGUAAAGAAGCACCGGCUAACUACGUG